UACGUAGGGUGCGAGCGUUAAUCGGAAUUACUGGGCGUAAAGCGUGCGCAGGCGGUCUGCUAAGACAGGUGUGAAAUCCCUGGGCUCAACCUAGGAAUUGCGCUUGUGACUGGCGGGCUAGAGUACGGUAGAGGGGGGUGGAAUUGCUGGUGUAGCAGUGAAAUGCGUAGAGAUCAGGAGGAAGACCGAUGGCGGAGGCGGCCCCCUGGGGCUGUACUGACGCUCAGGCUCGAAAGCGUGGGGAGCAAACAGG
rnacentral:rRNA from 1 species